UGACACAAGGUGCAUGAUGGCAACAGUACAGGCAGAUGCCAUGCGCAUGGAUGAGGGA
rnacentral:snRNA from 1 species